AGAUUGAACGCUGGCGGCAGGCCUAACACAUGCAAGUCGAGCGGCAGCACGGGUACUUGUACCUGGUGGCGAGCGGCGGACGGGUGAGUAAUGCCUAGGAAUCUGCCUGAUAGUGGGGGAUAACGCUCGGAAACGGACGCUAAUACCGCAUACGUCCUACGGGAGAAAGCAGGGGACCUUCGGGCCUUGCGCUAUCAGAUGAGCCUAGGUCGGAUUAGCUAGGUUGGUGAGGUAAUGGCUCACCAAGGCGACGAUCCGUAACUGGUCUGAGAGGAUGAUCAGUCACACUGGAACUGACGACGACGGUCCAGACUCCGUAACGGGAGCAGCAGGUGGGAAUUAGUUGGAACAAGUGGGACGAAAGCCUAGACUCCGA
rnacentral:rRNA from 1 species